UACGAAGGGGGGCUAGCGUUGCUCGGAAUCACUGGGCGUAAAGCGCACGUAGGCGGAUCUUUAAGUCAGGGGUGAAAUCCCAAGGCUCAACCUUGGAACUGCCUUUGAUACUGGGGAUCUCGAGUCCGGAAGAGGUGAGUGGAACUGGCGAGUGUAGAGGUGAAAUUCGUAGAUAUUCGCAAGAACACCAGUGGCGAAGGCGGCUCACUGGUCCGGUACUGACGCUGAGGCACGAAAGCGUGGGGAGCA
rnacentral:rRNA from 1 species